rnacentral:rRNA from 1 species
AUUGAACGCUGGCGGCAUGCCUUACACAUGCAAGUCGAACGGUAACGGGCCUUCGGGUGCCGACGAGUGGCGAACGGGUGAGUAAUGCAUCGGAACGUACCUUUCAGUGGGGGAUAACGUAGCGAAAGUUACGCUAAUACCGCAUAUUCUGUGAGCAGGAAAGCAGGGGAUCGCAAGACCUUGCGCUGAUUGAGCGGCCGAUGUCAGAUUAGCUAGUUGGUGAGGUAAAGGCUCACCAAGGCGACGAUCUGUAGCGGGUCUGAGAGGAUGAUCCGCCACACUGGAACUGAGACACGGUCCAGACUCCUACGGGAGGCAGCAGUGGGGAAUUUUGGACAAUGGGGGGCAACCCUGAUCCAGCCAUGCCGCGUGAGUGAAGAAGGCCUUCGGGUUGGUU